rnacentral:rRNA from 1 species
AAUAGAUACCCGGGUAGUCCACGCCGUAAACGAUGAGUGCUAAGUGUUAGAGGGUUUCCGCCCUUUAGUGCUGAAGUUAACGCAUUAAGCACUCCGCCUGGGGAGUACGGCCGCAAGGCUGAAACUCAAAGGAAUUGACGGGGGCCCGCACAAGCGGUGGAGCAUGUGGUUUAAUUCGAAGCAACACGAAGAACCUUACCAGGUCUUGACAUCCUCUGACAACCCUAGAGAUAGGGCUUCUCCUUCGGGAGCAGAGUGACAGGUGGUGCAUGGUUGUCGUCAGCUCGUGUCGUGAGAUGUUGGGUUAAGUCCCGCAACGAGCGCAACCCUUGAUCUUAGUUGCCAUCAUUCAGUUGGGCACUCUAAGGUGACUGCCGGUGACAAACCGGGGGAAGGUGGGGAUGACGUCAAAUCAUCAUGCCCCUUAUGACCUGGGCUACACACGUGCUACAAUGGACGGUACAAAGAGCUGCAAGACCGCGAGGUGGAGCUAAUCUCAUAAAACCGUUCUCAGUUCGGA